rnacentral:lncRNA from 1 species
GUAAGUCAGGCUGCCCCAGUGAAGCAGCCACAAGCUUUGCUUAGUGCUCAGAGCUUUCACUUGCGUUGCUGGCGCUGCCGGGAGCCUCCAAGGAGUGAACUGUCCACCGGCUCCGGGUGCUGAAUGCGUUCAACCAUUUUGGGAUCUGUUGCUGUGAAUGACAUCUAUUCCAAGCACCCAGAGAGAACUGAUGGAGCACACAGAUGGGAAUAGGAUGCCAGGCAAGCACAGAGGAAGAAAUCAGGAAAUCACCAGAACUGGAAGUACAGCAGCCAUUGGAUAAUGGGACGGGAUCACUCGGCAACUCUGUGGAUUCUCCUUCUCCUUCCUCUGUAGGGGAAAUAUAGUUAUGGAUUUAUUGCCCCGGUGCAGCAGUUCCAGCAGCAGCAGCAGCAGCAGCCUCAGCAGAUUUCUGACUCUCUUCGGUGACGGGUAUUCUUGGGUGGAUAAUACGGAUUACGUUGUUAUUGCUUAAGAAUACGCGUAGUCGAGGAGAGUACCCGCGGCAGGCAGGCAGGCAGCGGCCGCCCCCAGCCCAGCAGCUGGCUCCUAAUCUACUAUAGUUGCCAAGGUAGCCCCUUUUUGAUCUUUUCCUGCACUUUGCUAUGUCUCUCUCUAUGUCUGUGAUU